rnacentral:rRNA from 1 species
UACGAAGGGGGCCAGCGUUGCUCGGAAUUACUGGGCGUAAAGGGCGCGUAGGCGGACAGUUAAGUCAGAGGUGAAAGCCCAGGGCUCAACCCUGGAAUAGCCUUUGAUACUGGCUGUCUUGAGUGCGGGAGAGGUGUGUGGAACUCCGAGUGUAGAGGUGAAAUUCGUAGAUAUUCGGAAGAACACCAGUGGCGAAGGCGACACACUGGCCCGUAACUGACGCUGAGGCGCGAAAGCGUGGGGAGCAAACAGG